AAAUACAGUGGGAGGGGAAGGGUAGAGUAGAGGGGAGGGGACUAGAGAGAAGCCAGAAUGGUCUCUAUAGCAACAGGAAAGCUAAACCAUGGUUGGAAGGAGGGGGAAGCUGUGAUCUAGUUAAAAAAAUAAAAAACCAGGAGGGCAGGACCAGGGAGGCAAUGGCACAAACAGACAGAUGGCUAACAUGUUUUGCCUACCCAUAAUUACCCUUUAGGAAUUAUGACAGGAACAAUGAGAGCUGGGCAGGAGGAGAGCAGUGAAAAUAAUUCAAUAUCGAUAACUCUAUUCUAGAACUAAUCUAUUUCCUCUAGAGGGAGAAAAUGUCAACAUACGUUAAAGUGGUAGGACGCAGAAUACACUACUUCAGAUUCUUGUUCCUCAAAAUGGGACUCCAAGGCUGGCAAUAUCAUCAUCUGGAGUUUGUUGAAAACUCAGAAUCCCACCCUAGACCUGCUGAAUCAGAACCUGCAUCUUAUCCUGGGCUCUGGGAGAAGAUAAACUCUGGGUCACAGCUGUAAAGGAAAAGUGCUCUCAAAUUGGAAGCAUUUCCAGGAUUUAGAACCAAGACAGCAAAUCAUCUCAUCCAGCUGACAAGUGACUGGAGUACUGAGGGCAGAGAAGGUGGGAGUUAGUUGUGGAGACCUGCAGUCUGGUUAUGUUUGCAGAGACACCAUAAAAGGGUGGCACCAGCAGCUUAGGGUGCGAGUUGGGAACCAGUCCUGGCCGGACGCCCUUCCAUCACAGGCAGCCAACCUUGCCGGGACUGCGACAGCUGAGACAGGCCAGUGAAGCCAAGUUUUCUGACUUGGAGAAGUGGAUCAAGUCAUCGUUAUACAUGUCCUGGGUGUUGAGCAAGUCACUAUAUUCCUUCUGGCUGAGAUCUUCGGGGUUGAUCCCAUUGGCCCUGAGGAACUCCUGGUACGCCACACUGAAGGCCUGCCCGAUGGACUGUGCAAUCAGCUGUGCCUGCAGAGCAGACAGGACAGGUCAGCUGGGAAGCGCUGCCUCUGGGUGGCCUGGGGGCCUACCAGGACCACAGAGCUGGAGGGUCAGGCCAGUGGGUCUACACACGCACUAAUGCCAGCCAGAGGUCAUUUUUAGAAUCACUGGGGACAUUUUUGUUAUGAUGAAGAUCUUAAGGGAGCUCCUUCCAGUUGGGGAAGCAGAGGUGCAGGGCUCACUGCCAUGCAAAGGCCAGUCCUACCCCAUGGUGAGCCCAUCUGCCCCCUGCACAAUUUCCCAAUAUCCUAUUGCAGGUUCACGUUCCUGGAUGUGCAUGUCUAGUUAUGAGUCCAAGACUCAGUUCUAAUUUAUACGAAAACACCAGUCAAUUUCACAGCUCUAAUAGGCAUUGAACUUCCAAGACUACUACUGCCAUGUAAACAGAGAGAAGCUGAUAUGUGGUUGGGUCCAGCACUUUACCAGGAGGAAGUUUCCAGCCCUUUGGAAAAUGCCAGCAUCACUGCUGUUCAUGGUACCUGGGCUGUCAAUAAAUCACAGCACUACC